rnacentral:rRNA from 1 species
GAUGAACGCUGGCGGCGUGCUUAACACAUGCAAGUCGAACGAGAAGUGGAGACUGAAACCUUCGGGCGGAAGGCUUCACUUCGAGUGGCGGACUGGUGAGUAACGCGUGGGUAAUCUGCCUCAUACAGGGGAAUAACAGUUGGAAACGACUGUUAAUACCGCAUAAGACUACAGCAUCGCAUGGUGCGGGGGUAAAAACUGCUGUGGUAUGAGAUGGACCCGCGUGUGAUUAGCAAGUUGGCGGAGUAAUGGCCGACCAAAGCGACGAACGAUAGCAGAAAGGGGAGGCUGACGGGCCAGAUUGGGACUGCGACCCGGCCCGAACUGGUACGCAAGGCAGCAGUGGGGAACAUUACAGAAUGGGGGCAAACCAGAUGCAGCCACGCCGCGGAAGUGAAGCAAUGCUUCGGUAAGUAAAUCUCUAUCAGAAGGGAAGUAAAUGACGGUAACUGGGUAAGAAGCCCCGGCUAACUACGUG